rnacentral:rRNA from 1 species
ACUCCUGCGGGAGGCAGCAGUGGGGAAUUUUGGACAACGGGCGAAAGCCUGAUCCAGCAAUGCCGCGUGUGUGAAGAAGGCCUUCGGGUUGUAAAGCACUUUUGUCCGGAAAGAAAUCCUUGGCUCUAAUACAGUCGGGGGAUGACGGUACCGGAAGAAUAAGCACCGGCUAACUACGUGCCAGCAGCCGCGGUAAUACGUAGGGUGCGAGCGUUAAUCGGAAUUACUGGGCGUAAAGCGUGCGCAGGCGGUUUGCUAAGACCGAUGUGAAAUCCCCGGGCUCAACCUGGGAACUGCAUUGGUGACUGGCAGGCUAGAGUAUGGCAGAGGGGGGUAGAAUUCCACGUGUAGCAGUGAAAUGCGUAGAGAUGUGGAGGAAUACCGAUGGCGAAGGCAGCCCCCUGGGCCAAUACUGACGCUCAUGCACGAAAGCGUGGGGAGCAAACAGGAUUAGAUACCCCAGUAGUCCCAUGA